rnacentral:lncRNA from 1 species
AGAAACCUGUCUUAAAACAGCCGCUAGGGGGCCCUAAAGGCAUCUCAAAGAGGAAGCCAGAAAAGCUGCUCUCACCUCCGCUUUUCCCUGUUUGAUUUUCUGUGUACCUCUUGGAACUGGACUCUAAAAACAAGUUAAGAGAGCAUGGUGCAAAGUCUGGAAGCAAAUCUAGCUUUAUGUUUUAAGAGACCAGAGUCCCAUUUUGACUCGUGAAUCAAGAAUUUAGUUUCCCCACUCUCGUCUUGCCUCCAAAAAAAUAACGAAAAAGGAAUAUUUCACUCAUCCAGAUGAAGGUGGCCUGAUCCUCUUACCAUCUUAAAGUCAACCAGGUUGUUUUCGCUAUUCCGAAGAGAAUCUGCUUCCUAAGGUUUGAGGGCUGUCUUCUGAAUGUUUGAAACAUUGUUCAAGUGCUAGGUAGCAAGAUGAAUGAAUUCUCACAGGGGUGAUAUGAAAAAUAUGUGACAACCUAGACAGCAGGGCACCCACCAGCCAACUUAUGGGAAGUCAAGCCAGCCUUAAGGAUGCUAGCACCAGAGCAGAGUCCUGGAGACCCCUGGUAAAGCUCACCACAGGAUCACCAGAGGAUUGAGGGUAUGUGAGAACUAUUUUUAAGAAGUCAUCUGACAGUGUUUGGUAAAUGGAGGCCAGCUACCCGCUCUCCAUUCCCCUGUGCUCUGAAUCUCCAGACCCGUCUAACAAGGAGGACAUCUGUGGACUCAGCAUUCUCUGAACAGCCUCAAAUACUGACCAGCUCUUAAGUCUUCUUUUCUUUGAGCUGCUUGUCAUCCAAGAACUCAAAGAAAAGCAGAUUUGCGUCAUAGGCCAGAGGGUGUCUUGGAACAAGGACUAAAUUCUGGAAGGCUGCGUGUUUCCUCUAUGGAGAAACAAACCAAACAUAGGAUGAGAACUAAGAUUUUUUGGUUUUGUUCUUAUUUUCCCUUUCUCUGGUUAUAGGCUCACUUUUCACAGCAUCCUGCUCACCCACCCUUGCAGUUGGACGCAUGGAUCUAUCAGGGUCAAUCAGAUCUUCUCUCAAAGGAAUGGGUGGUGCUAAAAUGAAUCUGAUUCAGCCCCCUAGGAAGUGCUGUGUCCCUGUUCCCUACAUGCUAGAGUUGCCCUGCUUCCUGAUUGUUCAGUUCUAGCUCUGAUUUGCUGAGUGACCUCAUUGUUCUUCUAAUGAAGCUCCCUUCCUUAUUUCUGUUGCUCACAUCCUGAGAAUUCUGACCAACAUACCCAGAUAG